GUAUUGGUGAUUCAGCAGUAGAAUGCUCACCUUCCAUGCAGGAGACCCUGGUUCUAUUCUAGGCCAAAUCA
rnacentral:tRNA from 1 species